rnacentral:rRNA from 1 species
GACGAACGCUGGCGGCGUGCUUAACACAUGCAAGUCGAACGGAAAGGCCCUGCUUGCAGGGUACUCGAGUGGCGAACGGGUGAGUAACACGUGGGUGAACUGCCCUGCACUUCGGGAUAAGCUUGGGAAACUGGGUCUAAUACCGGAUAGGAACCAUCUUUAGUGUGGUGGUUGGAAAGUUUUUUCGGUGUAGGAUGAGCUCGCGGCCUAUCAGCUUGUUGGUGGGGUAAUGGCCUACCAAGGCGGCGACGGGUAGCCGGCCUGAGAGGGUGUACGGCCACAUUGGGACUGAGAUACGGCCCAGACUCCUACGGGAGGCAGCAGUGGGGAAUAUUGCACAAUGGGCGCAAGCCUGAUGCAGCGACGCCGCGUGGGGGAUGAAGGCCUUCGGGUUGUAAACUCCUUUCGCUAGGGACGAAGCUUUUUGUGACGGUACCUAGAGAAGAAGCACCGGCUAACUACGUG